rnacentral:rRNA from 1 species
GAGCUUGCUCUUAUGAAGUUAGCGGCGGACGGGUGAGUAACACGUGGGUAACCUGCCCAUAAGACUGGGAUAACUCCGGGAAACCGGGGCUAAUACCGGAUAACAUUUUGAACCGCAUGGUUCGAAAUUGAAAGGCGGCUUCGGCUGUCACUUAUGGAUGGACCCGCGUCGCAUUAGCUAGUUGGUGAGGUAACGGCUCACCAAGGCAACGAUGCGUAGCCGACCUGAGAGGGUGAUCGGCCACACUGGGACUGAGACACGGCCCAGACUCCUACGGGAGGCAGCAGUAGGGAAUCUUCCGCAAUGGACGAAAGUCUGACGGAGCAACGCCGCGUGAGUGAUGAAGGCUUUCGGGUCGUAAAACUCUGUUGUUAGGGAAGAACAAGUGCUAGUUGAAUAAGCUGGCACCUUGACGGUACCUAACCAGAAAGCCACGGCUAACUACGUGCCAGCAGCCACGGUAAUACGUAGGUGGCAAGCGUUAUCCUAAAUUAUUGGGCGUAAAGCGCGCGCAGGUGGUUUCUUAAGUCUGAUGUGAAAGCCCACGGCUCAACCGUGGAGGGCAUUGGAAACUGGGAGACUUGAGUGCAGAAGAGGAAAGUGGAAUUCCAUGUGUAGCGGUGAAAUGCGUAGAGAUAUGGAGGAACACCAGUGGCGAAGGCG